rnacentral:rRNA from 1 species
UUCCGGUGAUCCUGCGGACCCUACUGCUAUCGGGGUGGGACUAAGACAUGCGAGUCGAGCGUCUCCAGCUAUGGUGAGACGCGGCAGACGGCUCAGUAACACGUGGCUAACCUACCCUCAGGACAGGGAUAAACCCGGGAAACUGGGGCUAAUACACGAUAGGCGAGGGCGCCUGGAAUGGCUCUUCACCCAAAGGGCUUUGGAAGCAUGCUUUUCAAAGUCGCCUGGGGAUGGGGCCGCGUCCGAUCAGGUUGUUGGUGAGGUAACGGCUCACCAAGCCUAUAACCGGUACGGGCCGUGAGAGCGGUAGCCCGGAGAUGGGCACUGAGACAAGGGCCCAGGCCCUACGGGGCGCAGCAGUCGCGAAAACUCCGCAAUGCACGAAAGUGUGACGGGGCUACCCCGAGUGCCGUCCGCUGAGGAUGGCUUUUCCUCGGUGUAACUAGCCGGGGGAAUAAGGAGAGGGCAAGACUGGUGUCAGCCGCCGCGGUAAUACCAGCUCUCCGAGUGGUAGGGAUGAUUAUUGGGCUUAAAGCGUCCGUAGCCGGCUUAGCAAGUCUCCUGUUAAAUUCAGCGACCUAAUCGUUGAGCCGCGGGAGAUACUACUAGGCUAGGAGGCGGGAGAGGCCGACGGUACUUCCGGGGUAGGGGUGAAAUCCUAUAAUCCCGGGCGGACCACCAGUGGCGAAGGCUGUUGGCUAGAACGCGCUCGACGGUGAGGGACGAAAGCUGGGGGAGCGAACCGGAUUAGAUACCCGGGUAGUCCCAGCCGUAAACGAUGCGGGCUAGGUGUUGGGGUGGCUACGUGCCACUUCAGUGCCGCAGGGAAGCCAUUAAGCCCGCCGCCUGGGGAGUACGGCCGCAAGGCUGAAACUUAAAGGAAUUGGCGGGGGAGCACCACAAGGCGUGAAGCUUGCGGUUCAAUUGGACUCAACGCCGGA